rnacentral:rRNA from 1 species
AUUAGGAAUCUUGCGCAAUGGGCGAAAGCCUGACGCAGCGACGUCGCGUGAAGGAUGAAAUCUUUCGGGAUGUAAACUUCUUUUACCAGGGAAGAAAGCAAUGACGGUACCUGGUGAAUAAGCCCCGGCUAACUACGUGCCAGCAGCCGCGGUAAUACGUAGGGGGCGAGCGUUGUCCGAAGUUACUGGGCGUAAAGAGCGCGUAGGCGGGUUUUUAAGUGAGGGGUGAAAUUCCGAGGCUCAACCUCGGAACUGCCUUUCAUACUGGGAACCUUGAGUGCGGGAGAGGCGAGUGGAAUGGUCGGUGUAGCGGUGAAAUGCGUAGAUAUCGAUCGGAACACCCAUGGCGAAGGCAGCUCGCUGGCCUGUAACUGACGCUGAGGCGCGAAAGCGUGGGGAGCAAACAGG